rnacentral:tRNA from 1 species
UGUAGCUCAGUGGUAGAGCGCUUGCCUAGCACUCAUGAUGCACUGGGUUUGAUUCUCAGCA